UUAUUUUUUGUAUUUGACUUUAAUAUAUAACCGUAAACAAUGUUGUAAAUCGUAUGAAAGUAUCAAGCUGGCCAAAGCAGGAACUCUGCUCUCUGACAUUCACUUCUCGUUCACUUCUAUUGGAAUUCCACUUAUAACAGAUAAACUGACAAACAAGCAAAAAUAUCUGAGCAUAGUCAAGCAAAACUGGACCUGGUUGAUCUGGUCUAAACUGGACAGAAAACUGAUUGGUACAAUCAGCUACUUCAAUUAAAGCGAAACCUGCUCAGCACUACUGAGCUGAUGGUGCUGAUGAGUCACUGCAUAAUAGGAAGGCAUGUUAUGAAACUGGGUAUAUUCUAUAAUUUCUUUUAUCGUGGUUGUGGGGCUACGGAUGUGAUCCAUCUUUAGCUUGGAGAAAAUCUAAAAUAUUCGGGCUGUACUCUAAUCUAUGUAUGAACAAACACCAAUCCUGUUGUACUACAACAAGCUAUUAUUUGAGCUCAUGUGGAGUUGGGGAGUAACAUAAUAGAAGAACGAGGGAGUCUCUAUUGAGUGAGUCACUGAUGAAGGGCUAUGUUGCUCAUUCUGUGGCAUACGUCACAAAGAACAAAUUUUGCAGAUUAAAUUUGAUCUUAGAAAUAAAUUGUUGGUCAAUCUCUAAGAUCUUAGAAUGACGACGAAAUCCCUGAUGAGUGAUUUUCUGUUGAAGAGCUCGUCUUCCCAAAGGAUAUUAAUUUUGAAAUUGAUGAUUCAGCAAAGCUCUUGGCAGUUUCUUUUAAGAAAUUUGAUGGGAUGAUAGAUGCUCAGUUUAAUCAAAUAGAAAAAUAGUUCUAAUCAUGUUUGCAAUUUUGGAAGAUUCCACUAAAAUUGACAACAAUGUAGGUGUUGUAAACGAUAGCAAAGCGACGACAAGAAGACAAGAACUGAUAAGAGCUGUUCUCGUUUAAAUUCUUUUGCUUCAAUUAUAAGACCUUUGAAGAGACAAUAAAAUAUAACCACAAAUUGCAUCUUCUCUGCA